rnacentral:rRNA from 1 species
UACGUAGGUGACAAGCGUUGUCCGGAUUUAUUGGGCGUAAAGAGCGUGUAGGCGGCCGUACAGGUCAGCUGUGAAAACUCGAGGCUCAACCUCGAGACGUCGGUUGAAACCGUACGGCUAGAGUCCGGAAGAGGAGAGUGGAAUUCCCGGUGUAGCGGUGAAAUGCGCAGAUAUCGGGAAGAACACCCGUGGCGAAGGCGGCUCUCUGGGACGGUACUGACGCUGAGACGCGAAAGCGUGGGGAGCGAACAGG